GUUAGAAUAGGUUUAUCUCCUCUAGUCCUAAAAGGAAAAACAUUCUCAAAGUACACUGUAUCUCUAACCUUAAUAAUAGUGUUGUUAAAAAUCUCACUAAUUUCAGAAUUCACCACCAAAAUUGCAUUGCUAUCUUGUGCAUAACCAACAACAAUUGUAUCCACAGUUUUAGGUCUAAUCUUUCUCUUCUUAUUCGUAGGUAUCUUAACUUUAGCU
rnacentral:lncRNA from 1 species